ensembl:lncRNA
GCUCGGCUCGGGCUGCGCGCUGCUACCGGGAGGGUUCACAGGAUGGCCCGCAGGAGCAACAUCACUCAAACACGCUUAUGAGGAAACAUCAUGACACCCUGUGACGCACUGCUGAACUUUUGGGGACUGGAGAGCAUGAAUCAGAAGCGCUACUGGUCCUUGAAAAAGAUACGCCUCGAGAAAGAACAUCAAGUACUGGCCCAACAGAACCGUGAAGGGGACUGCCACUGAUUGCCUUUAUUGUUUUGACAUCCUAUAUUGCGGCGGGUGUUGUGUAUGCGUCGCGAUGCGCAUUGUGUCUUGGGCCACCAGGUUGCAGGGGCUCACCCCCUACCUGCUCAGUCAUUGGUUCAUGCUGUGAAGGGGUGGAGUGUAGUGGAAUUCCAGGGUCACAGCCUGAACCAAUGGGUGGGCUCUGUGAGUGUGUGAGUGCGGCGGCGCGGCGGUACGAAUGGGGGAGGGACACAUUCCUCAGCUCGGCUCGGGCUGCGCGCUGCUACCGGGAGGGGUGAGUCGAUUCUUUUUGAUAUCUUUCCCUCGUGUGCCUAUUUCUUAAAUAAAGGCUUUGUCAUCACCUUCAUUUGCCCUACAUCUGUGUAACAUGGAAAACCUUCUGCGCGUCCUCCACACAGUAGGCAACCAGGCCCACUCUUUCUCUAGGAAAUUAUAUAAAAUUAUGAAAUAAUGGUCCAGAGUUAUUCCAUGAAUUCCUAUGCAGGAAUCAAAAUACCCUCAUUACACUUGUUUUGCUUUCUUUUUAAAGGCAGUUUUUGUUCCUCCAAAAUUUCUAAAAUGGAUGGUUUCUUAUUUUCCAACCAUAAUCUUCACAACAAACAAUGUCGUGUAUUUUUAUGAAGGAAGGUACUUGAUUAUUCGACUUUGAUUAAUUGUUGAAUACUCUGCGCAUAUGAAAUAUCUAAGUAACACAGGUUAAUGUUCCAUAACAGUGUUCAUCCUUAAUUUUCUUUGUGCUGUGCUGUGUCAGACUUGAGCUGGUUUACUGAAGGGCACUGCCACAUUCUGAUAAUCUGAAAUCCAACUCAGAGGCACAAAGAUGUUUUUCCAGAAUUUAUCAAUAAUUUUCUUCUUCACCAUUUCAGCCUUUUCUUUUUUUUUUUUAAUUAAAUUAUUUGUUUAUUUGCUUGUUUGAUUAUUGUUUUAUUGUUGCUGUUAUUUUUGUUGGUUUGAUUUGUACUUAUCUACUUCAUUUUACUUCUAGACUUCUCUGAAUACACUGCCAUUUUUACGCAAACAGACUGUAAGUUCGCUUAAUUUCCUUUUACACCUGUGCCGCCACUAAUUGCUAGUUUACCUCUCUGGUUACAGACAUUUACAGUCUAUAAUUACUCUAUGCACUAAUUAUCCUGAAUAGCUGGUUUGGGGCAAGGGAAGAAGUCAAUGGGAAAUCAUAUAUCCUCAUUUCUGGCAUUGAAAUUAAGGAAUUUUCUUUUGUUUCUUUGCUUGUCCUGGAACUCACUCUCUUCAUUUUUAUUUAUUUAUUUAUUUAUUUAAUUUCUCCUGGACAUCCAGUGGGGUAAUGAUUUCCAGACCACAAUGCAAACACAUGUCCUAUUUUGGACCAGACGAGCUAUUUUAUUUUAUUUUACUUUAUUUUAUAGUUCACAUCACAUUAUUCUUUGUAAGUGAAAACUGCCUCCUUUGGACUUAAUCAGCAUUUUCUCUAUGCUUGUAAUGAAAUACUGUAAAUCUUUCUGCAGACAGAAAACAUAGUAAAUUAUUGUGAUGCUGAUCAAAAAUUAGUUCAUGUCUGUUUGGAAAAACAUAAGCUCGGUUAUUAAUAGUCAUUAAAACACAAAUUUACAAUUACUGAAAACAGUAGCAAACAUAAAUCAGAUUAAAACCUUUACAAAAUAAUCAAAUUUUUAAUAUUCUCUCUUUUUUUUUUUUUCCCCUGUUUCUGUAGCAUUCACCUCUCACAAGAAUCUCUCCAUCCUUCAUCCUUCAGACUUGGCUGAAAUUUUUAAGGACAAAACAUCUUUAAUUUGAGAGCAUCUUUAUUGGAGGGAAGGCUUUAAAAUUGAUUCAUAUCAUUAAGCAAAUAUGACUGGUGGUUCCACUUCAUCAGACAUCAACAGUGGCACAAAUGUCCACAUUUUUUUUGGAAACUCAAAUCAGCCACAAAGGAAUUAAAAAUAUCUGCAUCUUAUUUCUUAGUGAAACUUUCAGUAUCAGGGAAAACUAACAUUCCAUGAUUCCAUAUAGUUUCUGUCUAUUAAGUUGUAUUAUUUUAUUACAGUUAUUUACAAAAUCCUCA